UAAUUUGAGAGUUCGAUCCUGGCUCAGGAUGAACGCUGGCGGCGUGCUUAACACAUGCAAGUCGAGCGAAGCGAUUUCAAGGAAGUUUUCGGAUGGAAUUGAAAUUGACUUAGCGGCGGACGGGUGAGUAACGCGUGGGUAACCUGCCUCAUACAGGGGGAUAACAGUUGGAAACGGCUGCUAAUACCGCAUAAGCACACAGUGCCGCAUGGUACGGUGUGAAAAACUCCGGUGGUAUGAGAUGGACCCGCGUCUGAUUAGGUAGUUGGUGAGGUAACGGCCCACCAAGCCGACGAUCAGUAGCCGACCUGAGAGGGUGACCGGCCACAUUGGGACUGAGA
rnacentral:ncRNA from 1 species